AUGAACGCUGGCGGCGUGCCUAAUACAUGCAAGUCGAGCGAACAGACGAGGAGCUUGCUCCUCUGACGUUAGCGGCGGACGGGUGAGUAACACGUGGAUAACCUACCUAUAAGACUGGGAUAACUUCGGGAAACCGGAGCUAAUACCGGAUAAUAUAUUGAACCGCAUGGUUCAAUAGUGAAAGACGGUUUUGCUGUCACUUAUAGAUGGAUCCGCGCCGCAUUAGCUAGUUGGUAAGGUAACGGCUUACCAAGGCGACGAUGCGUAGCCGACCUGAGAGGGUGAUCGGCCACACUGGAACUGAGACACGGUCCAGACUCCUACGGGAGGCAGCAGUAGGGAAUCUUCCGCAAUGGGCGAAAGCCUGACGGAGCAACGCCGCGUGAGUGAUGAAGGUCUUCGGAUCGUAAAACGCUGUUAUUAGGGAAGAACAAAUGUGUAAGUAACUAUGCACGUCUGGACGGUACCUAAUCAGAAAGCCACGGCUAACUACGU
rnacentral:rRNA from 1 species